UUUAUCGGAGAGUUUGAUCCUGGCUCAGGACGAACGCUGGCGGCGUGCCUAAUACAUGCAAGUCGAGCGGACAGAUGGGAGCUUGCUCCCUGAUGUUAGCGGCGGACGGGUGAGUAACACGUGGGUAACCUGCCUGUAAGACUGGGAUAACUCCGGGAAACCGGGGCU
rnacentral:rRNA from 1 species